rnacentral:sRNA from 1 species
UAGCAUCGUUCCGACGGCACGCAUGAUG